UACGAAGGGGGCUAGCGUUGCUCGGAAUCACUGGGCGUAAAGGGUGCGUAGGCGGUUGUUUAAGUCUGUCGUGAAAUCCCCGGGCUCAACCUGGGAAUGGCCGUUGAAACUGGCGAACUGGAGUGUGGCAGAGGGGGGUGGAAUUCCGCGUGUAGCAGUGAAAUGCGUAGAGAUGCGGAGGAACACCGAUGGCGAAGGCAGCCCCCUGGGCUAACACUGACGCUCAGGCACGAAAGCGUGGGGAGCAAACAGG
rnacentral:rRNA from 1 species